UGGGGAGUAUUGGACAAUGGUCGAAAGCCUGAUCCAGCAAUGCCGCGUGUGUGAAGAAGGCCUGCGGGUUGUAAAGCACUUUCAGUAGAGAAGAAAAGCUUAAGGCUAAUACCCUUGAGUCUUGACGUAACCUACAGAAGAAGCACCGGCUAACUCCGUGCCAGCAGCCGCGGUAAUACGGAGGGUGCGAGCGUUAAUCGGAAUUACUGGGCGUAAAGCGCGCGUAGGUGGUUGUGUAUGUCGGAUGUGAAAGCCCAGGGCUUAACCUUGGAAUUGCACCCGAUACUGCAUGACUAGAGUAUGGUAGAGGGAAGUGGAAUUUCCGGUGUAGCGGUGAAAUGCGUAGAUAUCGGAAGGAACACCAGUGGCGAAGGCGACUUCCUGGGCCAAUACUGACACUGAGGUGCGAAAGCGUGGGGAGCAAACAGGAUUAGAUACCCCCGUAGUCC
rnacentral:rRNA from 1 species